GGAGGGCUGUCCGAGCGGCCGAUGGAGCUAGUCUUGAAAACUAGUGGGCAGCAAUGUCUCGUGGGUUCGAAUCCCACGCCCUCCGCCA
rnacentral:tRNA from 2 species